rnacentral:rRNA from 1 species
UACGUAGGGGGCUAGCGUUGUCCGGAAUCAUUGGGCGUAAAGCGCGUGUAGGCGGUCCGGUAAGUCCGCUGUGAAAGUCGGGGGCUCAACCCUCGGAUGCCGGUGGAUACUGUCGGGCUUGAGUACGGAAGAGGCGAGUGGAAUUCCUGGUGUAGCGGUGAAAUUCGUAGAUAUUGGGUGGAACACCGGUGGCGAAAGCGGCUCUCUGGUCCGGACCUGACGCUGAGGCGCGAAAGCGUGGGGAGCAAACAGG